AGGGUUUGAUUCUGGCUCAGGACGAACGCUGGCGGCGCGCCUAACACAUGCAAGUCGAACGGAGUUAUGUUGACAGAUCCCUUCGGGGUGACGCUGAUAUAACUUAGUGGCGAACGGGUGAGUAACACGUGAGGAACCUGCCCUUCAGAGGGGGACAACAGUUGGAAACGACUGCUAAUACCGCAUAAGACCACAGAGCCGCAUGGCUCAGGGGUCAAAGGAGAAAUCCGCUGAAGGAUGGCCUCGCGUCCGAUUAGCUAGAUGGCGGGGUAACGGCCCACCAUGGCGACGAUCGGUAGCCGGACUGAGAGGUUGAACGGCCACAUUGGGACUGAGACACGGCCCAG
rnacentral:rRNA from 1 species